GAAGAGAUGGCUGAGCGGUUCAAGGCGAUAGACUGUAAAUCUAUUGGUUAAAACUUCCGUAGGUUCGAAUCCUACUCUCUUCA
rnacentral:tRNA from 1 species